rnacentral:rRNA from 1 species
GACGAACGCUGGCGGCGUGCCUAAUACAUGCAAGUCGAACGCAGUGGGGACGGGUGAGUAACACGUGGGUAACCUCCCUUCAGAGGGGAUAACACUUGGAAACAGGUUCUAACCCGAUCUUGAUGGAUGGACCCGCGGUGCAUUAGCUAGUUGGUGAGGUAACGGCCCACCAAGGCAACGAUGCAUAGCCGACCUGAGAGGGUGAUCGGCCACACUGGGACUGAGACACGGCCCAGACUCCUACGGGAGGCAGCAGUAGGGAAUCUUCGGCAAUGGACGAAAGUCUGACCGAGCAACGCCGCGUGAGUGAAGAAGGUUUUCGGAUCGUAAAACUCUGUUGUUAGAGAAGCGGUAUCUAACUAGAAAGCCACGGCUAACUACGUGCCAGCAGCCGCGGUAAUUC